AGUGAACGCUGGCGGUAGGCCUAACACAUGCAAGUCGAACGGCAGCACAGUAGGAGCUUGCUCUUACGGGUGGUGAGUGGCGGACGGGUGAGGAAUACAUCGGAAUCUACUUUUUCGUGGGGGAUAACGUAGGGAAACUUACGCUAAUACCGCAUACGACCUACGGGUGAAAGCAGGGGAUCUUCGGACCUUGCGCGAUUGAAUGAGCCGAUGUCGGAUUAGCUAGUUGGCGGGGUAAAGGCCCACCAAGGCGACGAUCCGUAGCUGGUCUGAGAGGAUGAUCAGCCACACUGGAACUGAGACACGGUCCAGACUCCUACGGGAGGCAGCAGUGGGGAAUAUUGGACAAUGGGCGCAAGCCUGAUCCAGCCAUACCGCGUGGGUGAAGAAGGCCUUCGGGUUGUAAAGCCCUUUUGUUGGGAAAGAAAAGCAGCAGGUUAAUACCCCGCUGUUCUGACGGUACCCAAAGAAUAAGCACCGGCUAACUUCGUG
rnacentral:rRNA from 1 species